GGUUGAAAUGAUGUGGAUGUCUCGGCGCCGAGCGGAGCGAGACGAAAAAAUUUUUGGACCUUUUUAUGCAGAAAAUUACUUUUUAUUUAAGCACAUGUACUCCCACAGAAUCCGACACUAGUAAGAUUUUUGUUUAAAUUCAAAAUUCCCACCAAUACAUAUAUUUAUAUUUUUAACCAAAUGUUAUUGUUUCCUCGAAACUACCAUCAUUCAAUUCAUAAAUAUUUGAUGUAAAGUUUCCCACCCCAGUGGCGGAUCCAGAAAUUUUCAUAAGUAUGGGCCCGCUCCGGUCAUGCUUCAGUGAUUCCCUAUAUAAGCAACCAAAUUUUUCGCAGAAAAGGGGAGACCCGGGCCGCCUUGCCCCCCCCCUUAAUUCCGCCUCUGUUCCUAAUCUUAAAGUUAUAUUUGACAUAUAGGAACUGAAGUGACUUCUCUUUCCAGGAAUUUGAAUCUACAAUCUUGAAUUUUUGAUUUUUUUAUUACUGAGCUAAACGCGUUGCAGGAGACAUAGAAAUACCGGGCGUCCGAUCGUCCGGUCUUGUUAGCACUCUUAUGUGUACAAUUCUUGUCAGAUUAAGUGAAACUCAUAUCAUAAGCAAUGUCUUUGACAAUUUGGAAAAUAAGUCGUGAUUAAAUAUUUUUAACCAGUUAUGACCAUUUGAAAUAUAAAUU
rnacentral:lncRNA from 1 species